rnacentral:lncRNA from 10 species
UGCUGCUCUUCUUUCCCAGAAAGGUGGUGGCUCUCCUGACACCAGGACAGUGGCUCCUGGCUCUCCAGGCUGUGCUGCAGUGUAGGACCCUGCUGUGCAAAUCACCAGGGGCUGAGAUUUGCUCCAGGUUGCUGUUAUACCACAAAACUGGAACACUGGCAAAAUGAAGGGUCUAAGACCUGAGAGUGAAGCCUCAGCAGACUCACAGUGCAUGCUGAUUGGAUUCGGAGAAAACUUAGAACUAUUCUCUGAACAGACAAGAUUGGAAAGGACAAACAUUCCUGCUCCCAGGAAGAUUCUCCCACAUCGAAUAGAGAUGACCUGUGACACCAACAGGGAUAUUGUGGAAAUGACAGGAUAUUGUG